UGAAACACCAUUCUUUGUGCUGUCUACUGGAGUCCUGCAUUUUGUACUCCUUUGCAAUUAAAUGCUCCUGUCUUUACCUGUGUGGGAUAAACUCUCACGGGGGAAGAUGCUGGGUCUGAUUUUCUGUUGUCUCACAACCUUCUGUAGCUGCUGGUUCAGUGCAAAAACGAUGAGGAAUACUGAAUGAACAAUUCCCAGUGGGGCAGGGGAACAGCAGCACCCAGAAGAAAGCUCAGGUGGGAGCUGCAGUCCUUCCAUGCGAAUGGGUACCCAGGAGAUAUUCGGAGCACCAGAGCCUGCCAGAACAAUCCUGCAGGGCUCCUGAUAGGACAGAGCUUAAGAACUGAAUGCAGUGACCCAUAAGCAUUGCACAGCAGAAAGGAACCUGCAUCUCUCACAAUGUUGGGAUUUAAACAAUUAUUACUCCUAAGGCGGCUGGGAAGGUACCAUGUGAUAUUGGCAUUUUUCACUUGAAGUGUUGCCCAGUGGGUUGAGCACAGGUGUUCAGCAUCAACCUGUACUUCCUGAUGGGUUGUCCCAGGGCUUUUGGAGGUGCCAGUUCACUGCUGUGUGUGAUGGAGAGGAGUAUUGGUGCAAUGGCAGAAUAAUGGCUGUUGCAAGACUGUGGUACCAUUAACGAGCUCCUUGGAGGAAAACCCUACAGAAGUGCAAAUCAUCUUACUUGCUAUUAAUUACUGGUGUAUUUAUUCAUUGCAAUAUGCGGGGCAGAUAUAGCAGGUUAUCAACUCAGCUGAUCUGCAAGCUGAUCUGCAGGAGCUUCUUGUGAUGGUCACAAGAAGGAGCUUCUAGACUUGUAGCUCUGAUUUGCUUAUGCUGGUAGGGAUGUGGAGGCAUUUUGCUUCUCCAGAUCCAGGAACAUCUCCUCGGUUUGAUUAAAAGGGGCUUUUGUGUGUACCUUCCAUCUCUUGGAAUUGAAGCAGACUUUGAGUGCUAAAUUUAUUCUGGCUGGCUUUCCUGGGUGAUUUUUGUCUACAGCCUAAAAUGGCAAAGAAGAAUACAACUGCAGGGUGCAGAUUGGCUUCCAGAGAUCAAAGUACAACUUCUUCCCUGAUCCAGAGGAGCUCAGUUAUGUGCUGCUGUGUACUGGAGGCUAUUGAACCCGACCUCCCAUUUUGGAAGCAACUUGCCCUCCUCUGCUGUCAUUUUAGAUCAUCAUAUUAUGAAGUGGAGAUUCUGCCUCCUGCUAACUAUUGUUUUGCUACAAAUAGCCUCCUUCCUUUGGGUAUCUGAGAUCUGGCAGAGAAUGAAGGAGAGGAGAUGCUGAAUCCAUGACACCACCAAAGACAACAGCUGGCCAGCCACUGUUUAAAGAAACAGUGUCUUGCAUCAUGAAACUGAAGGUAAAUCCUAUUUAUUGCAUGGGCUCCUGUCUCCAGCUUCUGACUACUAGGCCAUUUUUUGUUAACCAAACCAAAAAUCUUCAGAUUUUGGUAAUGACUUUUGAGAAAACUGCUAUGGCUAGCUGUUUUCUACAUAUUCAAACACCUAUCAUGGGUAUUUUAUUCUUUUGGGUCGGUGUGGUCAUCAAACUGACAAAUGGACAACUGAGGUAACCCUGGCUCUGAGCAUCUUUGUGUUUACAAAGUCCUCACCUUUUCGGAUGUGAAAAGUAACAGAGGAGGUUUAUGAAGGGCUGUUUUCUUCUGAUGCAGGCCCCAAUAGUAGCCCUUGCUCUUUGUCAGAUAGGUAAUGGGUCCUGAUGCCCCUGGGAUGGCUGCUAUGGUGUUGCUGGAGUCUAUAAUGUUGCUGGAGGUCCUGUUAUGGUGUGGAUCCCGCUCUUCCUGAGAAGCCUGGUGCUAAGUAAGAAUUUCAUGAAUAAGAAGAAACACAAAACACCAAAGCAAGCAAACAACAAAGCAAGUAAGGAUGUAUGCACAGCACUUGUGCUCUACUAAAACAUCUGAGUGAAAAUUGGUAGUCCACGGUGGAAUUUCUACACUGGUGUGAGAUCUGUCUGGAUCACUUCCCUUUCCUGACACAGGAAAGGCAACAUUGCCCUGCUGGUUGUGAAGCACUCUCCUGGCAGCCCCGUGCCUGUUCAAUUUGCACGUGGCCAAACUAGGUGCAGGAAAAGAGGUAUGUGCUAAGCUGACUGCCUGCUGCCCUACUCUGAGGACAAUGUCUGGGUGUCCUGGAAUUGUGGGGAAUUGCAGUUUUCAAGUAUAUCUGUGAAGCAGACCAAGGCUUGCUGAAGUUCCAAGUUUCAAGGUUUAGUAGUUGCUGCCAUUUCACACUGCUAGCAAAGUCUGUGUAUAUGUCAUAUAAUUAACACCAGAAAUUCUGACUCCUGAGGCUAUAGGGUUAAACAAGUGUGUCCCCAUUAAACUUGAAUAAUAAGAGGUUAACUCAUUAGGAAAAGAACACUCCUGAUGUGCUUAAUGGAGGGAGAGAGCAUUAACUCUUACGGUUCCUUACAAAUCCUUGUGUUAGUUUAACUUCCCUUUAAAUGUUAAUUUUUCUUCUAUAGAAUACUUUAUGAAACUCUCCAAAUGAUCUCAUGUGUUCCGUAUGAAUCCUCUUUUGAUUUCCUUGUUAUUGACAUGCUUGACUCCUCUGGAGUCUUUAAAAAUACGUCCUGCUGUGCUGAUGGCUGGUUGCAUACUUAUAAAUAAUACGCAAUGCAGAACUUCUACAGAACAAAGGCAAAUCCUGAAAACAGCUCAUUUGAAUGUCCAGUAGCAACAAGUCGUAUGUCUGUGUCUUUCCUGGUUUAUCCUUGGAGGGAAAAAAAUAAUAAUAAUAGGAGGGGAGACCUGAAGGUCCUAAGUCACAAGCAAUUGGCCUGCAAAGGUAAUAUUUUUCAUCAACGAGUUUUCAAUUGUAAAAGCACAGACAAGAGUCAUUUUGAAGAUACUGUAUUUGCAGUUCCAAAAGUAGUUAGGUUUCCAAGGGGUACACCUAGCUCAUAAACCUCUACUUGCUGUUAUGGGUCAAGGACUUGCUGUCAUACUUGGCUGGUUCUAGAAUUCAGUGCUCACUGACUCUCAUUACUGUAAAAUGGGCUUCUUGGGUCAAGCAAAAGAAAUAUAUGCAAGUGAAUACAAACAAGGCAGAAGCUUACAAACCUAAAAUUAGUUCUUAGUGGUUGUGGCAUUAUCAAAUCCUAUCCUAGUGCCUGCAGCUGCAGAAUGACUUUGGAGUUCCCAUAGUGCAGUUGUCUGUUGAAGACAGUGCAUAUUCUUGCCUGAAAAUAUGAGUCUUGUGGAGCUGAUUUCUCUCUUCACCCUGGACAAGGAUGGAGGUUGGUCAGCUCCAGUUCCUUCAGCCAUUUUGUCCCAUUCUGAGGGUUGUUGCCCAGUGGAAGUGUUUCUGGGAAGCGAGAGAUGUAUCCUUCACGUCUGGGAGAUUCUUUGGCAGAAGUCUUCCUGUCUUCAAGAAGCUUCAAAUGCUGCAGUUCUGAAUGGGGUGAGUCUGUGUCCUUCAGAACUUCUGGCACUAUGAAGACGAUAACCCUAUUGCAGGUUGUGCUACCACCACAGAAUGAGUAAUUCAAACUUUGACUCCAUAUGAUGUACAUUAUAUUAUUAACUUGUGCAGUUUCAUGUUGAAGGCCUGUGUGGGUGGGAGAAGAAGAACCCAAACUGUUCCUGACCAACUCUAGAAAUGAGCUUUGCUUAAGGAUCUGCUACAUGUUUGAAGCAGCUUUAGCUGGGAGUAGCUCUAGCUGUGAGUGAAAGUGACCAAAUGUAGGCUCAGACUGUGUAAUAAUGUUUUUCAAGGCAGAAAUAAUAAUUUAUAAUGCAUGCAGCUGUGUAAGCUCUCAGCAGAAUCAAUUGUGGAACAUUUUAUUUUGUGGAUCACCUGAGAAUAGCCUAUCUUCUCAAGGCGUGCAAGGAAGAGAUACGAGAAGUCUGGUAAACGCUUCCAAGUGAGGAGGUUUCCAAUAGCAAAUAGUAAACCAGUGAUGUCAGCCAAAGACAGGAAAUCAACGGUUUGGCUCCUGCGUCCUCCAUGGCUGUGCCUCUUUCCUGUAUGUGGGAGUGUGCCUGGAUCUGGAACUGUAUAAAUAAUCACACACCAUCAUGUUCCAUGUGGUGCAGUGGGUCUCGGAGUGCCUGGCUUCUGGGAUGCGUAGGUGCUUAGUGUAAACACUGCUGAAGAACCUGUUUUCAGUGCUGUCCCACAGAAUGAGUCUGGGAUCCGAGCUGUUCCAUAUGCUGCAGCAGAGUAGAGGAAAUAGCACCUUUUCCUUUCCUUUUUUUUUUUUUUUUUUUAAGUCACACAUUCUUUUGUUGAGUUUACUGUCUGUUAUACAGGCAAAUGAAUCUCUGCAUUCUUGUCAGGUGUUUCAUACAAGACUUCUGCAGCAGCAGCCAAAGCAUUUAGAUUAUUUUUUGUCUUUAUUUUUAUUGGCCUGGUUUCCACUUUAACAAAUUCACAGCUUGUGAACUGUUGCUGGAAGAUCUGAAUGUGCAAAGCAUUAAGGAAGCACUAAGCACAGCCAUCCUUUUAAUUUGUGUCCCGUCUCUGCUACUAAUAGUGUGUAACAUCUGACUACAGCAAUGCCUAAAGCACGGGCUCCCGUGGAGCCCCGCUGUGUAGGUGCCGUGCAGGCGGGAGGGGGAAUUCCUGCCUUCUGGGGUCUCGAGUGGGAACUCAAUGAGAAGGGCUGGGGGAAAUCGCCAUGGUGGGGAAUGAGAGGAAGCGAUUUGGUCACACGGAGGAUCAGUGAUGGAACAGGGAGCAGAAUUAGGUCUCUGCUAGGUUAUGUAGUUGUAUUUAAGCUCAUUUUCUCGCAGUGCCUUGAGGCAGACUAGGUGACUUCUUGCAGUACUUUUCUGUCCCAUUUUAUUAUGAGCCCACGGAUGGAAUUGCCUGCAUUCACUAAUUAGCAGAUUCCAGCUAAGGACAAAUCUUACUGAGGCUCACUUCAGCUUGCCUGGGGGAGACUUAGUGCUAGCCAUGACUUUUCCUUGUUUCCACUGACCAGUCCAGUCUCUAUCAACUUGGUAGUUUUGAAAACUGUGUUCAUUCCUGUUGUAGAGACAACCCCUCUGGCCAUGCAAGUUUGCAGGGAGAGGCACAGAAAAUAGGCUUGGAUAGCGACCUACCUUUCUCUGCAGUCAU